GAGUUACCUUAACUUGCUUUAUUUAAAUUAUGUUUUGUAAAUUAUAUUAGUUUUUAAAGUAUAUUAUUUGUUGAAUGAACUCUAUUUGCUUAAAAAGAGAAACCCAUAGGUAUAACCAUUUAUUAAAUGUGUUUUUGAAUAAUUAUUUUAUAAGUAUCAUCACGGAUGUCCCAUGUCUUGGAGGACUUAAAUAACCAUUGAUUCUCUGAUUUGUCACUUUAGUGAUGCUCUGAUUUGUCACUUCGGUGACCUCUAGUAUGGAGCAAAGUGUUGUGCGGAACUAAGUACUACACUAUUGUGAAAACUAUCUCUAGGGUCCGUACAAGUCACCUCUUGGGUCCAUUCAUCUAUAUUAUCAUGGAUCCACUGAUCCUCUAUUCUGUUUUUUGUUCUAGACCAUGGUUGUAAUUAUUUUGCUUAUAAGACUUCUGUACUAUAUAUUUGUUUUUGUAAAAUGAUUUAUACCAAACUAUUCUCUAUUUAGCCUAAAUAAUUAUCCAUAGUGAUUUUUGUACCCCUUAUGCUCUCAGUAUAAUGUUUCUCACUAUGUCAUGUGCUUAUAACUGUUAAAACCCUUUCCCCUGUUGGAUAAGUCUAGAAGAACUAAGAUAAAAAGUUGAAUGUGGCAAUUGUUGUGCAUGAGAGCCACGUGUUCAAUUAUUAGGAAGGGAGUUUCGCCCAAGUUUUCCUAUAAAUAGGUGAUGCAAUAGGAAAGAAUGGGAGGAAAAAAAAACAAGCGAACAAGAGAAAUGAGGAAAAGUAUAGCAAAGGAAAAAUAAAGUAGGAAUUAAUAUUAAGGUAAUAAGGCUUAGGGAGAAAUGUUAAUUCAUUAUUCAUUAGUUGGAAGUAACAGGAUCAGUGCGUGCAGUAAGUACAAGGCAUUUUGUAAUUAUAAUCUAACUCUAACAAUGUAAAUAAAUAGAAGCUCCGAUAGAUAUAUUAUUGUUACAAUUAAAUACGAUUUGGGUACCUUUUAUUUUA